AUUUUCUCGCCCCAAGUGGGUGUUGGAUUUGCUCGAAGUAUAGAUGCGCCGGUCGCAUCGUCGGGUAGGUUUGGAACUUACGUAUGCGGGUCAGUUUCUAGGGUU
rnacentral:rRNA from 1 species